rnacentral:lncRNA from 1 species
UAGGUUUGCAAUAGAGUUGGUCUCCACUGAGGCUAAGCAGGCCUGAUAGUUUUUGAAUAAUGCGUAAUUAGUAGAAGAGUUAUUUGCUGCUCGUUUUAAACAAGCUAGUGGUUUUCAGUUUCCUGAUCACCUAAAGAGGAAACAAUCAUUGCAGGGCCCAGUUGAUAAAUGACCUAGAGUUAUUAAUUGUUAUUGUUCCACCAUCAUUAGGUACAGUUAUUUCUUCUACUACUAUAUGUAAGGAUUGUGAAAAAAAUCAUGGCAACCGUCCUUGUUUCAAGACAACAAAUGCAUGAU